UACGGAGGGUGCAAGCGUUACUCGGAUUUACUGGGCGUAAAGCGCGUGUAGGUGGUCUUAUAAGUCUGGUGUGAAAUCCCGGGGCUCAACCCCGGAAGUGCAUUGGAUACUGUAAGACUAGAGUGCAGGAGAGGAUGGCGGAAUUCCAGGUGUAGAGGUGAAAUUCGUAGAUAUCUGGAGGAACAUCGGAGGCGAAGGCGGCCAUCUGGACUGCAACUGACACUGAGACGCGAAAGCGUGGGUAGCAAACAGG
rnacentral:rRNA from 1 species